AUUGAACGCUGGCGGCAUGCCUUACACAUGCAAGUCGAACGGUAACAGGUCUUCGGAUGCUGACGAGUGGCGAACGGGUGAGUAAUUCAUCGGAACGUGCCUAGUAGUGGGGGAUAACUACUCGAAAGAGUGGCUAAUACCGCAUGAGAUCUACGGAUGAAAGCAGGGGAUCGCAAGACCUUGUGCUACCAGAGCGGCCGAUGGCAGAUUAGGUAGUUGGUGGGAUAAAAGCUUACCAAGCCGACGAUCUGUAGCUGGUCUGAGAGGACGAUCAGCCAAACUGGGACUGAGACACGGCCCAGACUCCUACGGGAGGCAGCAGUGGGGAAUUUUGGACAAUGGGCGAAAGCCUGAUCCAGCAAUGCCGCGUGCAGGAUGAAGGCCUUCGGGUUGUAAACUGCUUUUGUACGGAACGAAAAGCCCCGGGUUAAUACCCUGGGGUCAUGACGGUACCGUAAGAAUAAGCACCGGCUAACUACGUGCCAGCAGCCGCCGUAA
rnacentral:rRNA from 1 species